rnacentral:snoRNA from 2 species
GGGAAAUGAGGAGUGGUAUAAGCUCGCAAUUAUUACUAUGCGAGAGGGGUGCCCGCCCCAAAUAAGCCUGUUACGACAACAGGGGCACCCCAAUGACUUUACCAUCUGAUCCC